CAGAUUCUGCCUUGAAGUUUGGUUGGUGUUUCCUGUUUUACAUGGGCAUUCUUGCUGCAAUUGAUGUCUUUCCUGACCAUGCGGUGGUAGGGGGUAUUAAGUUUUUAAAACGUAAUAUCAGCAUCGUUCAUUUGUUUUAGUGGGAGAGAAGAGGCAAAGCAACUUACACUCAGCAACAUAUUGAUGAGGUCAGAAUGGAGUGGGGAAAGUAUAGUUAAAACUUAUAUGUAAGCAAUACUAUGUUGCGAGAAGUAUUUUGGUAACCUUGAUUUUACAAGAUACAUUACUUGCUAGAUUGAGGCUUUUUUGGUUGAGAUGGCCGGAUUGUGAUGUCUACACAUGAAUUUGUAGUUUCGGUAUGUUUUGGAUGUGGCAAUGUAUGAGAAUGAUGUGCUAUAUAGCAGCUACUAAAUGAUGA